GCCCAAUCGAAACCCAAUGCCCUUCGGGGCUUUGUGUUGACCCAAAAUAAUUCAACGGAUCGGUAGUAGGGGUGCCAUGUAGGUGCCACUUAUCGAUGGAUCAUUCAAAUUUCUGUUCUAUCAAUUUAUGAAGGUAGGGUAGUGGCCUACCUUGAUAAUGACGGAUACGGGGGAUCAGGGUUCGGUACCGGAGAGAGGCCUGAGAGACGGCCGCCACAUCUACGGGAGGCAGCAGGCGCGGAAAUUACCCUAAUCUCGACACGAGGAGGUAGUGACAAGAAAUAUCGACACGGGUUCCUUACGGGACUUGUAAAGUUGAAAUGAGGACAGUUUAAAAUUCUUACCGAGGAGCUAUUAGAGGGCAAGUUGGGUGCCAGCAGCCGCGGUAAUACCCACUCUAAAAGUGUAUGUUAAAGUUGUUGCAGUUAAAACGCUCGUAGUUGGAUUCAAGUGGCGGAAACCGGCCAAGGUGCUCUUCGGAGGCCUUUUGCGUCGAACUUUGCUACUAAUUGUUACUUUGAAUAAAAUUUAGUGUUCAGGCAUGUUUUUAACCGCAUGAAAAGUUUAGCAUGGAAUAACAAAAAGACACACUGUGUGAUUUUGUUGGGUUUUUGAUAGUGUGUAAUGGUUAAAUAGGGACAGACUCGGGGGCGUAAGUACUGAGUAGGUAGAGGUGGAAUUCAAUGAUCUACUCAAGACUGACUGAAGCGAAGGCGUUUCGUCAAGGAUGUUUUCGUUGAUCAAGAACGAAAGUUAGGGGAUCGAAGACGAUUAGACACCGUCGUAGUCCUAACCGUAAACUAUCUCGACUAGGGAUUGGUGCAGGUAGUUACCGUUAUGGUGACUGUACUGUAUCAGGACCUCUAGAGAAAUCGUUAAGUCUUUGGAGUCUGGGGGGAAGUAUAAUCGCAAGGUUGAAACUUAAAUCGGAAUUGACGGAAGAGCACCACAAGAGAUGGAGCUUGUUGCUUAAUUUGACCCAACGCGGGGAAGCUUACCAGGACUGGACUGAGAGAGGAUUGACAGCCUAAUGGGGCUUUCAAGAUUCUCAGAAUGGUGGUGCAUGGCCGUUCUUAGUUGGUGAAGUGAUUUGUCUGAGUUAAUUCCGUUAACGAGCGAGACCUUAACCUGCUAACUAGCAUACCGAGGGAGGAUUCGUCCGAACUCGAUAGUCAAGUGCGAUAAGUGCUUGACUGUGCUUCUUAGAGGGACUACUAGUGUUGAACUAGAGGAAGCUUGAGGCAAUAACAGGUCUGAGAUGCCCUUGGAUGUCCUGGGCUGCACACGUGCUACAAUGGUCCGACUAGAAAGUUCCAUGGCCGAGAGGUCACUGUGGUCGGGGGGCAACCCCCUUCCCUGGAAAUCUUUUAAACCGGACCUUGCCUUGGGAUUGGUUAUUGUAAUUUUUAACCAUGAACCAGGAAUUUCUAGUAAGCGCAAGUCAUCAUCUUGCGCUGAAUACGUCCCUGCUCUUUGUACACACCGCCCGUCGCUUAUACCGAUUGGAUGGCCCGGUGAACCCAUUGGACUCUGCCCCUCAAAAGAGGGGCUGGGGGAAGAUUGGUAAAUCUUGUCAUCUAGAGGAAUAAGAAGUCGUAACAAGGUA
rnacentral:rRNA from 1 species